rnacentral:rRNA from 1 species
GAUGAACGCUGGCGGCGUGCUUAACACAUGCAAGUCGAACGAUGAAGCCCAGCUUGCUGGGUGGAUUAGUGGCGAACGGGUGAGUAACACGUGAGUAACCUGCCCUUAACUCUGGGAUAAGCCUGGGAAACUGGGUCUAAUACCGGAUAGGAGCGUCCACCGCAUGGUGGGUGUUGGAAAGAUUUAUCGGUUUUGGAUGGACUCGCGGCCUAUCAGCUUGUUGGUGAGGUAAUGGCUCACCAAGGCGACGACGGGUAGCCGGCCUGAAAGGGUGACCGGCCACACUGGGACUGAGACACGGCCCAGACUCCUACGGGAGGCAGCAGUGGGGAAUAUUGCACAAUGGGCGCAAGCCUGAUGCAGCGACGCCGCGUGAGGGAUGACGGCCUUCGGGUUGUAAACCUCUUUCAGUAGGGAAGAAGCGAAAGUGACGGUACCUGCAGAAGAAGCACCGGCUAACUACGUG